AAAGAAACCAACAGGGAUUGCCCUAGUAACGGCGAGUGAAGCGGCAACAGCUCAAAUUUGAAAUCUGGCCCUCGGGUCCGAGUUGUAAUUUGUAGAGGAUGCUUUUGGUGAGGUACCUUCCGAGUUCCCUGGAACGGGACGCCAUAGAGGGUGAGAGCCCCGUCUGGUUGGAUACCGAGCCUCUGUAAAGCUCCUUCGACGAGUCGAGUAGUUUGGGAAUGCUGCUCUAAAUGGGAGGUAUAUGUCUUCUAAAGCUAAAUACCGGCCAGAGACCGAUAGCGCACAAGUAGAGUGAUCGAAAGAUGAAAAGCACUUUGAAAAGAGAGUUAAAAAGUACGUGAAAUUGUUGAAAGGGAAGCGCUUAUGACCAGACUUGGGCUUGGUUGAUCAUCCUGGGUUCUCCCUGGUGCACUCUUCCAGUUCAGGCCAGCAUCAGUUCGCUGCGGGGGAUAAAAGUUUUGGGAAUGUGGCUCCCUCGGGAGUGUUAUAGCCCAUUUCAUAAUACCCUGCUCCGGACUGAGGUUCGCGCAUCUGCAAGGAUGCUGGCGUAAUGGUCAUCAGCGACCCGUCUUGAAACACGGACCAAGGAGUCGUCUUCGUAUGCGAGUGUUCGGGUGUUAAACCCCUACGCGUAAUGAAAGUGAACGCAGGUGAGAGCUUCGGCGCAUCAUCGACCGAUCCUGAUGUUCUCGGAUGGAUUUGAGUAAGAGCAUACGGGGCCGGACCCGAAAGAAGGUGAACUAUGCCUGUAUAGGGUGAAGCCAGAGGAAACUCUGGUGGAGGCUCGCAGCGGUUCUGACGUGCAAAUCGAUCGUCAAAUAUGGGCAUGGGGGCGAAAGACUAAUCGACCCUUCUAGUAGCUGGUUUCCGCCGAAGUUUCCCUCAGGA
rnacentral:rRNA from 1 species